UGAGGAAUAUUGGUCAAUGGACGCAAGUCUGAACCAGCCAAGUAGCGUGCAGGAUGACGGCCCUAUGGGUUGUAAACUGCUUUUAUAUGGGGAUAAAGUGGGGAACGCGUUCCCUUUUGCAGGUACCAUAUGAAUAAGGACCGGCUAAUUCCGUGCCAGCAGCCGCGGUAAUGCGGAAGGUUCGGGCGUUAUCCGGAUUUAUUGGGUUUAAAGGGAGCGUAGGCCGUUUGGUAAGCGUGUUGUGAAAUGUAGGAGCUCAACUUCUAGAUUGCAGCGCGAACUGUCAGACUUGAGUGCGCACAACGUAGGCGGAAUUCAUGGUGUAGCGGUGAAAUGCUUAGAUAUCAUGAAGAACUCCGAUUGCGAAGGCAGCUUACGGGGGCGCAACUGACGCUGAAGCUCGAAGGUGCGGGUAUCGAACAGG
rnacentral:rRNA from 1 species